rnacentral:rRNA from 1 species
AGAGUUUGAUCCUGGCUCAGAUUGAACGCUGGCGGCAUGCUUUACACAUGCAAGUCGAACGGCAGCACGGGGGCAACCCUGGUGGCGAGUGGCGAACGGGUGAGUAAUACAUCGGAACGUGUCCUGAAGUGGGGGAUAACCUGGCGAAAGCCAGGCUAAUACCGCAUAAGCUCGUGAGAGGAAAGCGGGGGCUCGCAAGACCUCGCGCUACAGGAGCGGCCGAUGUCCGAUUAGCUAGUAGGUAGGGUAAAGGCCUACCUAGGCGACGAUCGGUAGCUGGUCUGAGAGGAUGAUCAGCCACACUGGGACUGAGACACGGCCCAGACUCCUACGGGAGGCAGCAGUGGGGAAUUUUGGACAAUGGGGGCAACCCUGAUCCAGCCAUGCCGCGUGAGUGAAGAAGGCCUUCGGGUUGUAAAGCUCUUUCGGUGGGAACGAAACGGGUGGUGCUAAUACCACUACUCAAUGACGGUACUCACAGAAGAAGCACCGGCUAACUACGUGCCAGCAGCCGCGGUAAUACGUAGGGUGCGAGCGUUAAUCGGAAUUACUGGGCGUAAAGCGUGCGUAGGCGGUUUUUCAAGCUCGAUGUGAAAGCCCCGGGCUUAACCUGGGAAUGGCAUUGAGGACUGGAAGGCUUGAGUGCGGCAGAGGGAGGUGGAAUUCCACGUGUAGCAGUGAAAUGCGUAGAGAUGUGGAGGAACACCGAUGGCGAAGGCAGCCUCCUGGGCCGACACUGACGCUGAUGCACGAAAGCGUGGGGAGCAAACAGGAUUAGAUACCCUGGUAGUCCACGCCCUAAACGAUGUCAACUGGUUGUUGGGGAAGGCAACUUCCUUAGUAACGAAGCUAACGCGUGAAGUUGACCGCCUGGGGAGUACGGCCGCAAGGUUAAAACUCAAA